rnacentral:rRNA from 1 species
CCUACGGGUGGCAGCAGUGAGGAAUAUUGGUCAAUGGCCGAGAGGCUGAACCAGCCAAGUCGCGUGAGGGAAGACGGCCCUACGGGUUGUAAACCUCUUUUGUCGGGGAGCAAAGAGAGUCACGUGUGACUCAUUGAGAGUACCCGAAGAAAAAGCAUCGGCUAACUCCGUGCCCGCAGCCGCGGUAAUACGGAGGAUGCGAGCGGUAUACGGAUUUAUUGGGUUUAAAGGGUGAGCAGGCGGAAGUGCAAGUCAGGGGUCAAAUUGCGGGGCUCAACCCCGUACAGACGGUGAACAUGCAUCCCUUGAGUGCGCGAGAAGUAUGCGGAAUGCGUGGUGUAGCGGUGAAAUGCAUAGAUAUCACGCAGAACUCCGAUUGCGAAGGCAGCAUACCGGCGCGCAACUGACGCUCAUGCACGAAAGCGUGGGUAUCGAACAGGAUUAGAUACCCCUGUAGUC